UACGUAGGGGGCAAGCGUUGUCCGGAUUUAUUGGGCGUAAAGAGCGUGUAGGCGGCCAGGUAGGUCUGCUGUGAAAACUCGAGGCUUAACCUCGAGCUGUCGGCGGAAACCAUCUGGCUAGAGUCCGGAAGAGGAGAAUGGAAUUCCCGGUGUAGCGGUGAAAUGCGCAGAUAUCGUAAGGAAGACCAGUGGCGAAGGCGGGUCUCUGGACAGUUCCUGACGCUGAGGCACGAAGGCCAGGGGAGCAAACGGG
rnacentral:rRNA from 1 species